rnacentral:rRNA from 1 species
CCUACGGGGUGCUGCAGUGGGGAAUAUUGGACAAUGGGCGAAAGCCUGAUCCAGCCAUGCCGCGUGUGUGAAGAAGGCCUUCGGGUUGUAAAGCACUUUCAGUGGGGAAGAAAGCCUUGGGGCUAAUACCCUCGAGGAAGGACAUCACCCACAGAAGAAGCAUCGGCUAACUCCGUGCCAGCAGCCGCGGUAAUACGGAGGGUGCGAGCGUUAAUCGGAAUUACUGGGCGUAAAGCGCGCGUAGGCGGUCUGAUAAGCCGGUUGUGAAAGCCCCGGGCUCAACCUGGGAACGGCAUCCGGAACUGUCAGGCUAGAGUGCAGGAGAGGAAGGUAGAAUUCCCGGUGUAGCGGUGAAAUGCGUAGAGAUCGGGAGGAAUACCAGUGGCGAAGGCGGCCUUCUGGACUGACACUGACGCUGAGGUGCGAAAGCGUGGGUAGCAAACAGGAUUAGAUACCCGGGUAGUC